UACAGGGGGUGCAAACGUUGCUCGGAAUCAUUGGGCGUAAAGCGCACGUAGGCGGUUCGUUAUGUCGGAUGUGAAAGCCCUUGGCUUAACCGAGGAAGUGCAUCCGAAACUGGCGAGCUAGAGUACGAAAGAGGAUCGCGGAAUUCCCGGUGUAGAGGUGAAAUUCGUAGAUAUCGGGAGGAACACCGGUGGCGAAGGCGGCGAUCUGGGUCGAUACUGACGCUGAGGUGCGAAAGCGUGGGGAGCAAACAGG
rnacentral:ncRNA from 3 species